rnacentral:guide_RNA from 1 species
AUUAACUGUAAAAGGGGAGAGAAGUCCCCAAUAUUUAU